UACGUAGGGUGCGAGCGUUAAUCGGAAUUACUGGGCGUAAAGCGUGCGCAGGCGGUUCUGAAAGUCAGCUGUGAAAGCCCCGGGCUUAACCUGGGAAUUGCGGUUGAAACUACAGGGCUAGAAUCUGGCAGAGGGGGGGUGGAAUUCCACGUGUAGCAGUGAAAUGCGUAGAGAUGUGGAGGAACACCGAUGGCGAAGGCAGCCCCCUGGGCUGAGAUUGACGCUCAGGCACGAAAGCGUGGGGAGCAAACAGG
rnacentral:rRNA from 1 species